rnacentral:rRNA from 1 species
GUGCCAGCAGCCGCGGUAAUACGAAGGGGGCUAGCGUUGCUCGGAAUCACUGGGCGUAAAGGGCGCGUAGGCGGCCGAUUAAGUCGGGGGUGAAAGCCUGUGGCUCAACCACAGAAUUGCCUUCGAUACUGGUUGGCUUGAGACCGGAAGAGGACAGCGGAACUGCGAGUGUAGAGGUGAAAUUCGUAGAUAUUCGCAAGAACACCAGUGGCGAAGGCGGCUGUCUGGUCCGGAUCUGACGCUGAGGCGCGAAAGCGUGGGGAGCAAACAGGAUUAGAUACCCUGGUAGUCC